rnacentral:rRNA from 1 species
GGGUUGUGAGGUUAAGCGACUAAGCGUACACGGUGGAUGCCCUGGCAGUCAGAGGCGAUGAAGGACGUGCUAAUCUGCGAUAAGCGUCGGUAAGGUGAUAUGAACCGUUAUAACCGGCGAUUUCCGAAUGGGGAAACCCAGUGUGAUUCGUCACACUAUCAUUAACUGAAUCCAUAGGUUAAUGAGGCGAACCGGGGGAACUGAAACAUCUAAGUACCCCGAGGAAAAGAAAUCAACCGAGAUUCCCCCAGUAGCGGCGAGCGAACGGGGAGCAGCCCAGAGCCUGAAUCAGUGUGUGUGUUAGUGGAAGCGUCUGGAAAGGCGCGCGAUACAGGGUGACAGCCCCGUACACAAAAAUGCACAUGCUGUGAGCUCGAUGAGUAGGGCGGGACACGUGGUAUCCUGUCUGAAUAUGGGGGGACCAUCCUCCAAGGCUAAAUACUCCUGACUGACCGAUAGUGAACCAGUACCGUGAGGGAAAGGCGAAAAGAACCCCGGCGAGGGGAGUGAAAAAGAACCUGAAACCGUGUACGUACAAGCAGUGGGAGCACAGAGCAAUCUGUGUGACUGCGUACCUUUUGUAUAAUGGGUCAGCGACUUAUAUUCUGUAGCAAGGUUAACCGAAUAGGGGAGCCGAAGGGAAACCGAGUCUUAACUGGGCGUUAAGUUGCAGGGUAUAGACCCGAAACCCGGUGAUCUAGCCAUGGGCAGGUUGAAGGUUGGGUAACACUAACUGGAGGACCGAACCGACUAAUGUUGAAAAAUUAGCGGAUGACUUGUGGCUGGGGGUGAAAGGCCAAUCAAACCGGGAGAUAGCUGGUUCUCCCCGAAAGCUAUUUAGGUAGCGCCUCGUGAAUUCAUCUCCGGGGGUAGAGCACUGUUUCGGCAAGGGGGUCAUCCCGACUUACCAACCCGAUGCAAACUGCGAAUACCGGAGAAUGUUAUCACGGGAGACACACGGCGGGUGCUAACGUCCGUCGUGAAGAGGGAAACAACCCAGACCGCCAGCUAAGGUCCCAAAGUCAUGGUUAAGUGGGAAACGAUGUGGGAAGGCCCAGACAGCCAGGAUGUUGGCUUAGAAGCAGCCAUCAUUUAAAGAAAGCGUAAUAGCUCACUGGUCGAGUCGGCCUGCGCGGAAGAUGUAACGGGGCUAAACCAUGCACCGAAGCUGCGGCAGCGACGCUUAUGCGUUGUUGGGUAGGGGAGCGUUCUGUAAGCCUGUGAAGGUGUACUGUGAGGUAUGCUGGAGGUAUCAGAAGUGCGAAUGCUGACAUAAGUAACGAUAAAGCGGGUGAAAAGCCCGCUCGCCGGAAGACCAAGGGUUCCUGUCCAACGUUAAUCGGGGCAGGGUGAGUCGACCCCUAAGGCGAGGCCGAAAGGCGUAGUCGAUGGGAAACAGGUUAAUAUUCCUGUACUUGGUGUUACUGCGAAGGGGGGACGGAGAAGGCUAUGUUGGCCGGGCGACGGUUGUCCCGGUUUAAGCGUGUAGGCUGGUUUUCCAGGCAAAUCCGGAAAAUCAAGGCUGAGGCGUGAUGACGAGGCACUACGGUGCUGAAGCAACAAAUGCCCUGCUUCCAGGAAAAGCCUCUAAGCAUCAGGUAACAUCAAAUCGUACCCCAAACCGACACAGGUGGUCAGGUAGAGAAUACCAAGGCGCUUGAGAGAACUCGGGUGAAGGAACUAGGCAAAAUGGUGCCGUAACUUCGGGAGAAGGCACGCUGAUAUGUAGGUGAAGUCCCUCGCGGAUGGAGCUGAAAUCAGUCGAAGAUACCAGCUGGCUGCAACUGUUUAUUAAAAACACAGCACUGUGCAAACACGAAAGUGGACGUAUACGGUGUGACGCCUGCCCGGUGCCGGAAGGUUAAUUGAUGGGGUUAGCGCAAGCGAAGCUCUUGAUCGAAGCCCCGGUAAACGGCGGCCGUAACUAUAACGGUCCUAAGGUAGCGAAAUUCCUUGUCGGGUAAGUUCCGACCUGCACGAAUGGCGUAAUGAUGGCCAGGCUGUCUCCACCCGAGACUCAGUGAAAUUGAACUCGCUGUGAAGAUGCAGUGUACCCGCGGCAAGACGGAAAGACCCCGUGAACCUUUACUAUAGCUUGACACUGAACAUUGAGCCUUGAUGUGUAGGAUAGGUGGGAGGCUUUGAAGUGUGGACGCCAGUCUGCAUGGAGCCGACCUUGAAAUACCACCCUUUAAUGUUUGAUGUUCUAACGUUGACCCGUAAUCCGGGUUGCGGACAGUGUCUGGUGGGUAGUUUGACUGGGGCGGUCUCCUCCUAAAGAGUAACGGAGGAGCACGAAGGUUGGCUAAUCCUGGUCGGACAUCAGGAGGUUAGUGCAAUGGCAUAAGCCAGCUUGACUGCGAGCGUGACGGCGCGAGCAGGUGCGAAAGCAGGUCAUAGUGAUCCGGUGGUUCUGAAUGGAAGGGCCAUCGCUCAACGGAUAAAAGGUACUCCGGGGAUAACAGGCUGAUACCGCCCAAGAGUUCAUAUCGACGGCGGUGUUUGGCACCUCGAUGUCGGCUCAUCACAUCCUGGGGCUGAAGUAGGUCCCAAGGGUAUGGCUGUUCGCCAUUUAAAGUGGUACGCGAGCUGGGUUUAGAACGUCGUGAGACAGUUCGGUCCCUAUCUGCCGUGGGCGCUGGAGAACUGAGGGGGGCUGCUCCUAGUACGAGAGGACCGGAGUGGACGCAUCACUGGUGUUCGGGUUGUCAUGCCAAUGGCACUGCCCGGUAGCUAAAUGCGGAAGAGAUAAGUGCUGAAAGCAUCUAAGCACGAAACUUGCCCCGAGAUGAGUUCUCCCUGACUCCUUGAGAGUCCUGAAGGAACGUUGAAGACGACGACGUUGAUAGGCCGGGUGUGUAAGCGCAGCGAUGCGUUGAGCUAACCGGUACUAAUGAACCGUGAGGCUUAACCUUACAACGCCGAAG